GAAAUUACUUGGCUGAAGCUAUUCAGAUGCUAAGUGGCUGACCUGAAAUUCAAAACCUGGUAUGCCUGACCCCAGGACAGACCCUUCCAUGAAUAAUAGGGGCCAGGGGUCUCUCUGCUCCUCCUCAUGAGCUAUUGUGUCAUGGUUUUACAAACAGCAGAAACUCAUCUUUUUGCUUCUAAUCCACCUGGAUCUCUGAUGCUUUAAGUCCAAUACCAGAUAGGUACUGUAGGAGUUUAAAAGUUCCUGAAAGAGCAUCAGCUCAAACACAUCAACUUACAAAUGAAGAAAAUGCAGACAGAGAAACGAAGUUCUUUCUUAAUAUUACAUAGUAAGUCAGUGGAAGAUCCUGGAGUAACUUAUGCUCCAUGGCUCCCUGACUCCAGGUAGUCAAAUGUCUUGACAAACAGGGAAGCCUACUCCAUGUGUUUUGUUAACAGAUUUAUUGACUUCAAUGUAUAAUUUACAUAAUAUUGAAUUCACUUGUUUUAAGUGUACAGUUAAAUGACUCUUUGUAAAUUU
rnacentral:lncRNA from 10 species